rnacentral:rRNA from 1 species
UACGUAGGUGGCAAGCGUUGUCCGGAGUUAUUGGGCGUAAAGCGCACGCAGGCGGUCUGCUAAGUUUGGAGUGACAGUUGGUGGCUUAACUGCCAAAGUGCUUCGAAAACUGACAGACUUGAGGGCUUCAGAGGGACACGGAAUUCCGGGUGGAGUGGUGAAAUGCGUAGAGAUCCGGAGGAACACCAAAGGCGAAGGCAGUGUCCUGGGGAGUACCUGACGCUCGAGGUGCGAAAGCCAGGGGAGCGAACGGG